GCCCGAUUAGCUCAGCUGGUUAGAGCGUCGUACUAAUAUAUCUCCUGAUAUAAUACCAAGUAAUACGAAGGUCAACAGUUCAAUCCUGUUAUUGGGCA